UGGGGUUCAGAUAUUCUCUGAGACCGGGAACGUCACUGCUCUCCCCGGGAAGCUGCUUUAGGCACAGUGCUCCUGCCUGACUCGGGAAGACUGCUCUCCUGGCCUCCUGGAAGUCAUAUGGGAAACAGGAAUGUGCCUUUGAAGCCCUAAGCUGCCAUAUAUAUGGCUACUGUGAACACGCUGGCUACUGUGCUACAAAGAUCACACGGAGAGAACAGAUACAGAGAAACAGAGAGAGAUUCCUGGGGAACCCUAGCUGCUUCAGUUCCUAGCUUUUGAGGCAUCCCAAACCAGAGGCCAGAUGCGUGAAUGAAUGAGCUCUUGGAUGAUGGCAGCUGCAACCUUUUAGUCUUCUAGCUGAGGCCCCACACACUGUAAAAC
rnacentral:lncRNA from 1 species